rnacentral:rRNA from 1 species
UACGAAGGGGGCUAGCGUUACUCGGAUUGACUGGGCGUAAAGGGCGCGUAGGCGGUUUGUACAGUCAGACGUGAAAAUUCCUGGGCUCAACCUGGGGGCUGCGUUUGAUACGUGCGGACUUGAGUUCGGAAGAGGGUCGUGGAAUUCCCAGUGUAGAGGUGAAAUUCGUAGAUAUUGGGAAGAACACCGGUGGCGAAGGCGGCGACCUGGUCCGAUACUGACGCUGAGGCGCGAAAGCGUGGGGAGCAAACAGG